GGACUACACGGGUAUCUAAUCCCGUUUGCUCCCCUAGCUUUCGCGCAUCAGCGUCAGAAAAGGCCCAGCGAGCCGCUUUCGCCACCGGAGUUCCUCCCAAUAUCAACGCAUUUCACCGCUCCACUGAGAGUUCCGCUCGCCCCUACCUCCCUCGAGGCCGUCAGUAUCUAAGGCAGUUCCACGGUUGAGCCGCGGGAUUUCACCCCAGACUUGACAGCCCGCCUACGCGCCCUUUAAGCCCAGUGAUUCCGAACAACGUUCGCUCGGUUCGUCUUACCGCGGCGGCUGGCAC
rnacentral:rRNA from 3 species